rnacentral:lncRNA from 1 species
GGGGCCCUGUCAUACAAGAGUUCAUUUCUGUGCACGUUCGACGGGAUGGAGCUAUGCGAGGGAUGCUGCCGCCGCCACCACCUGAUGCACCGGGUUGGGUGUGAGACCUGCGCACGAUGAAUAGGAGCUGGAUCUCUUUUUGAUGUAGAUAGUCGACACUUUCGAUGGGGGGUUUUUGUGCUCGCAUGAUGUUGAGGGUCGAGGUUUCUUUUUGAGGUUUUAGGCUGGACGUGGCUGAGUCCUAGCCUUUCCUUUUGUUGUACCGACCCGAAGGGAAUCCCAUCUUGCUAUAUAUGUAUGUAAGCAAAGUGUCGAAGUUGUUUAUAAAAUCCUGAUGUUUAGCUGGUGUGUAUUUGUAUCAUGGAUUGGUAGGGGGAUAGAUGGUG